rnacentral:lncRNA from 14 species
CUUACUGUACCCACAGUUUCGAUUCAGCUACCAGCAGUGUUUCCAUUUUCUGACAAACCAAAAUCAGCAGGCAGGAAAGCAAUUUUGCAAACUUGUUUGUUACUAAAUAUUAAUCAAGUGCUAUAUAAUGCCUUUAAUGGGUUCUUACAUCUCAGAAAAGUCUGAAAGUCCAUGAUUCCCAUGUAUUUUGGGAACAGAGAUUUUCUUUUUUCAGCAGAAGAGAUGUUAGGUUUGCAGAGCUACCUGGAGAAGAUAGCAGACUUCUUGAGUUUUCUAAAAGUAUUUUAACCUUUUCUUUUGUCUCAGUGCUCUAUUGUAGGUCUUCCUGAAUACUGAAACACAAGAGAGGACAAUAUUUCCUGCAGGAGUCUAGGGAACUUUCCCAGAAGGAAAAAUAUGAAGAAACAUCUUCAAAGGCUCAAUUUUAGCAUUUUCAUAGGGCUGAGCAUGAUUCACCAUGUUUAUGUCUCCACUAGGAUGGGUGUGGGGUAAAUGCUUGCUAACCAGACAGAGGAAGCAUCCAGCACACUAUCUAUCUUUUAAUCUUCCUCUAUCAGUAGACAGUUUGCAUUAAAACAAAAAUACAACUUCUUUCUUAAAAAAAAAAGAAAAGAAAAAGCUGGUUUAAAAAGUGGUCACAUGUUUUUCUAGUUUUACCAGGGGAUCAAAAAUGAACACAGACCUAGUGAUGUAAGCUUAAAUAAAAUCAUCAAGUAUGCCAUAUUUAGGAGUAACUGCAGAGCUGACCAUUAAUCAGACCAGAUGCUCUAAUCAUUGGGUUUUACAUCAACUUUGCUUGCACGAGAACAGCCUCUUCUCAGCUUCUCUGAAGAAAUUGCCAAAUUUUGUAUUCUCUGACAUUCUCUUCUAUCUUGGUCACCAAGUAGAGGGUAAAACUUGCAUUUCUUUUUGUUAGAAAGAUGCACGGUAUCUGCAAUCACAGCAGGCCUACUGAAGUGUGAGUGAAGACACAUUUUAAAUGCCUGUCAUAAAGGAACCAAUACAAAAGGAAAAAAGAUAUAUUCUGAAGAACUCACCAUUUUUUUCCUAAAUAAAGG